rnacentral:rRNA from 1 species
UACGGGGGGGGCAAGCGUUGUUCGGAAUUACUGGGCGUAAAGGGCUCGUAGGUUGCCAACUAAGUCAGACGUGAAAUCCCUCGGCUUAACCUGGGAACUGCAUCCGAUACUGGAUGGCUUGAAUCCGGGAGAGGGAAGUGGAAUUUCCGGUGUAGCGGUGAAAUGCAUAGAUAUCGGAAGGAACAUCAGUGGCGAAAGCGACUUCCUGGACCAAUACUGACGCUCAUGUGCGAAAGCGUGGGGAGCAAACAGG